rnacentral:rRNA from 1 species
GACGAACGCUGGCGGCGUGCUUAACACAUGCAAGUCGAACGCUGAAGCCCUGGCUUUUGUUGGGUUGGAUGAGUGGCGAACGGGUGAGUAACACGUGAGUAACCUGCCCUCUUCUUUGGGAUAACGCCCGGAAACGGGUGCUAAUACUGGAUAUUCACUGAUCUUCGCAUGGGGGUUGGUGGAAAGGUUUGUUCUGGUGGGGGAUGGGCUCGCGGCCUAUCAGCUUGUUGGUGGGGUGAUGGCCUACCAAGGCUUUGACGGGUAGCCGGCCUGAGAGGGUGACCGGUCACAUUGGGACGGAGAUACGGCCCAGACUCCUACGGGAGGCAGCAGUGGGGAAUAUUGCACAAUGGGCGAAAGCCUGAGGCAGCGACGCCGCGUGAGGGAUGGAGGCCUUCGGGUUGUAAACCUCUUUCGCUCAUGGUCAAGCCGCAACUGUGGGUUGUGGUGAGGGUAGUGGGUAAAGAAGCGCCGGCUAACUACGUG